UUGCAGUGAUUGAGAGAGAUUCACAGCAACAAAGUGCAUCGUGCACCAUAGUUGGAUCCCACUUCUAAGCUUUAAUGAUAUAUCCAUAGAUCAGAAGCUGUACGAUAAAUCUCUAAGGAUGACUGUACUUUCGUCAGUCUUGGGGUUUUAGUUGUAAUGCAGUGAAGGCCAAGGCCAAGGCCAAGAAAACAUUGCUCGCAGUUUGAAACCAGUAGAAAUAAAUAGCCAAUGGUUAGGAUUUGCCAUUUGCAGGAAGAAUUCUCCUUAAGCAGUGAUGUGUAUAUCUGUUGUUAACGAGAUGGACAACCAAGUCCAAUCUUCAUGAUGGCAGCAUGUCAUACAGAGUAGAAUGAAACUAAAGGAAGGUACAACCAAAUCCAUUCACCCAUCACAGCACAGUUUGGAGGUCCUACCUACUCCCUUACUUCAGCUUUAUUUGUCUGGUUUAAUUUAUGUUUCCAGAAUCAGCUUAAAUGUAUUCUCCUUAGAAAGAUCUUCUUCUACUGCAUUGUCUCAGGUAAGUACCUUUAGCACUUUCUUUUAUCGAAUUCUGCUACUUCAAUAGAAUUUAUGAAAAUUCUCUUAGAGUUAUAAGCAAUAGAUAAAUAAUGAUUUAUUCCUACUGUACAGGAGCUUAAUGUUGAACUGAGGAAAUAGACUUAGAUGCACCAGAAUACAAUAUAGACAAUGAUAUAAUAGAAGUAUUUAUAGAGUUCCAUGACAAGACAAGGAGAAGAUAUAUUAAUUUAGCUUUUAAUGGGAUGGGAAGGAAAAGCCUUACAGUAUAACAGACAGUUUAGUUGCAGAGUGAGUGAGUACAUCUGAGAGAUAUGUUUUGAUAUUGGAAGGAAUUGUCAUUUGAAAAUUGUAAGGCUCUACUUCCCUCUUGAACAGAGACAUUGUUUUCCUUCAUCACAACAUAAAGGAUAUGUAAUUUUUCAAAAGGAUAGAUAGAGAAGAAAUGUACCUGAAGUGUUAUUAAGACCAUGAAGUGAUAUUAAACCCUAGGACAGUGGAAUUUAAAGAAAGAUCAUGGUAUGCUAUAGCCUCUGCCUGUAGGCCUGAAAAUUCCCAUUUGUGUCACAUAUCUAAAUAUUGUUCUCCAUUAGCAGUUCAACUCAUAUUAUAUCUCACUCAGAGCAAGCAAUCUGUUGUGGUUAGCCAUUCAGAAUACUCUUCUCUAGAGAAAAUUAAAAGCUGCUGAAGGAUACAAUUUACUACUAAAAUAACAAAAUUAAAAGAUUAAGUAGAGAUAAGUAACAUAGUUGCAUAUAAUUUUAGGCUUAUGUUCUUUUCCUCCUCAUUCCACAGUUAUUUCUAAACUUAUUUUGUUCCUAAAUAAAGUAUUAGCAAUAGUUCCUAUUCUACUAAAAGCCUUGUUGACAAUGUGAGUUUGGUUUAAAGGAAAAGUGCUUCAUUGUGACUAAAAUCCUGGAACUUCCCAAUCAUUGCCAUAACACUAGCUUUGAGGUCCAAAUCAUUUGUAGCUAAAGCCUCCCUGUAGUAACGUCCUUUGGUAUUUCAAAUAUAUAGACCUAAUUUGUAUCAUAGCACUGAUAGACAAUUUUUAAUGUUUAAAGUAGUAAGCAGUGAUAGACAAUUUUUAAUGUUUAGGUUAAAAAAAUGGUCUCAUAUAAACACUGAAGUUAAGCAUUAGAAACUGAUAGAUACCCAACUUUUGAUCAAAUACAAUAAUUUGGGAGACCUAAAUAAUGUAACAGCUAUAAUGUAAGCGCCUAUUUUUUUCACAUUGAUGACCUCAUAUUAUUAGCAAUUACGGUCAAUAAAAUAUGAUUAUGUGCCAGAAAACAUAGAAUGUCACCAGAUGCUAGUGGAAAUGGGAUAGUAAGGCUCUCAAAAAGUUCACCCCUCCAUAAAAGCAAAAAAUCUGGCAAAAUUUUCCAGAUUCCUUUCUUUUCUUUUCUUCUCAGAACUCUGGGAAUUAUAGCAACUGGGUGGGGGUGGGGGGGCAUUUAGUCAGGAUAAACUACUGAAUCUCAGUCAGAACAGCAAGCUCUCUGGUAUUUUAAUUUACCUUAGCCUCAUCUCCUUCUCUCUGAUUCAGUGAAAAGUAACAUCCCAUAUUCCUGGUACUUGAGAAAGAAUGGACCUCAUUCCUAAACCAUUGUUAUUAUUGGACCUGUCUGGUGUGGUUCCCUGGAAACCCUCACUCAAAAGACUUGUCUUAAUUCAAAUUCACUUGAUCUCACCCAGCUCGAAGUGCCUUGAAGGGAGGAGGCAUUUGUCUAAUGCUUUAACAUCAAAGCUCUCUGAGACAAUGGAUAAAAGUUGGGGCAAAUAAUAGAUUAGCCAAAAAGCUUGGAAUGAAAAGCUGCAGGAUGGGAUGCCCAUAGGGGAUUGAAAGACUCAACUUGUCUUUGGAAACCUAGAAAGCAGCCCUCUUGCACAGGUUGCAUGCUGUUGUAUGCAUGCUCAUGAAAGACAUAAAAGGGCCUAAGCUCUCACCCCUGACUGACCUUGAGGCUCAAAUAAAAGGAAACUAGACAGUAACAAAAGCCCACAUAAAGAAAUAAAAAGUACUGACAAAUAUAAGUAUAUAGGUAAGUAUAAAAAGCAGUAUAAAUAUAUUUCUGUUUAUAUCUCCUUUUUUCUUCCCUAACUGCCUUAAAUCGCCAUUGCAUAAUACAAUAAUUAUAAAUCUAAGUUACUGGGCACAAAACAUGUAAGGAUGUAGUUGUUAUAAUAAUAGCAUAAAGGUGGGAAGAUGGAGCUAUACAGGACCAAAAGUUUUUUAUACUGUUGAAAGUAAGUUGUUAUUAAUCUAGAUGUUAAUGAUAAUCCCCAGGUCAAUCACUAAUAAGUCAAAAAUAUAGAGUACAAAAAAUUCAAGAGAAUUAAAAUGACACACAAAUAAAUAUCUAUUUAACACAAAAUAAGGUAGUAAUGGAAGGAUCAAGAUCUGAAACAUAAAAAAUAACAAAAUGUUUGAUGUAAAUUAUAGUUUAUCAGUAAUUACAUUAAAUGUAAAUGUAUUAAACUCAUCAAUUAAAAGGUAGAAGUUCUUUUUUUAAAGGUAGAAGUUCUUAAAUUAUUAAUUAUUAAAUUAAAAGACAGAAUGGAUAAAAAAUCUAAUUAUGUAGUGUAUACAAGAGACAUAUUUUAGAUUCAACUACACAAAUAGGUAGAAUGUAAAAAGAUAAAAUAUCUACCAUAUAAAUAAUAACCAAAAAAGUUAGGAUGCAUAUAGCAAUAUUACACAAAAUAGACUUUAAGACACAAACUGUUACCAGAGACAAGGAAGGACAUUUUAUAAUGAGAAAAGGUCAAUCCAUCAAGAAGAUGUAACUAUUACAUAUAUAUGCACGUUACAACAAAGCCCAAAAUACUUACCAUAUAGUGAAUGGAUUACAGGGGAAAAUAGACAAUUAAACAAUAACAGUUGAUUUUGAUCUCAACUUUCAAUAAUGGAUAGAAAAACCAAACAGAGUAUCAAAAAAGGAGUAGAAAACUUGGACAAUAUUCUAACAAAUAGAUUUAACAGAUAUAUACAGAACACUCGUCCAAUAGCAGUAUAAUAUUUA
rnacentral:lncRNA from 1 species